GGCGGCAGGCUUAACACAUGCAAGUCGAGCGGUAGCAGAUCUAGCUUGCUAGAUGCUGACGAGCGGCGGACGGGUGAGUAACGCGUAGGAACCUGCCCAGUAGUGGGGGAUAGCCCCGGGGGAAACUCGGAUUAAUACCGCAUACGCUCUACGGAGGAAAGAGGGGCUUCGGCUCUCGCUAUUGGAUGGGCCUGCGUGAGAUUAGCUAGUUGGUGAGGUAAUGGCUCACCAAGGCGACGAUCUCUAGCUGGUCUGAGAGGAUGAUCAGCCACACUGGGACUGAGACACGGCCCAGACUCCUACGGGAGGCAGCAGUGGGGAAUAUUGCACAAUGGGCGCAAGCCUGAUGCAGCCAUGCCGCGUGUGUGAAGAAGGCUUUCGGGUUGUAAAGCACUUUCAGUGGGGAGGAAGGCCUCGUAGUUAAUAGCUGCGAGGAUUGACGUUACCCACAGAAGAAGCACCGGCUAACUCCGUG
rnacentral:rRNA from 1 species